GAUAUUAUUCAAUCAGACACAAAAAAUAGUUGGAAAUAACAAUGGAUAUUUGAAAUUCUAAUUGCAUCACUGGAAGGUAGCGAGAACUGAGAAUCAUACCUAACAAUUUUUUUUCAAAGCACAUAUGUACCAACACCUUUAAGGACCAGCAGAUUAGCGCCGCUAUGCAAAGAGACGGGUCCAGCACCUUCGCUUCUGC
rnacentral:lncRNA from 1 species